rnacentral:tRNA from 1 species
AUUUGGAUAGAUUAAAUAAAUCAUAUCAUUGAAGAUGAUAUAAUAGGAAACCCCUUCUAAAUA